UUCUUGAUCGUAUAACGGUUAGUAUGCUCGCUUGUCACGUGACUUCGCGUUUCGCGGGAGAUCGGAGUUCGAUUCUCCGUCAGGAAG